UUCAUUUUCACCUACCACUAUGAGUCACCUGAUGACCGGUUAAAACAUGUUUAAAUUUGAAAGCAGCAUUACAGAUCGAACAUUUGAAUGGCCUCGCGUCUGUAUCUGUCCUUUGAUGAUCGGUUAGAGCGUGUUUACGUUUGAACGUAGCAUGACAGAUCGAACAUUCGAAUGGUUUC